CAGGCCCGGCUCUACACAUGUGCU
rnacentral:siRNA from 1 species